AACGAACGCUGGCGGCAUGCCUAACACAUGCAAGUCGAACGGACUAUGAGGGCUUGCUCUUAUAGUUAGUGGCGAACGGGUGAGUAACGCGUGUGAAUCUGCCCUAGAGUGGGGAACAACAGUUGGAAACGACUGCUAAUACCGCAUACGCCCUGAGGGGGAAAGGCUUCGGCCGCUCUUGGAUGAUCCCGCGUCUGAUUAGCUUGUUGGUGGGGUAACGGCCUACCAAGGCGACGAUCAGUAGCUGGUCUGAGAGGAUGAUCAGCCACACUGGGACUGAGACACGGCCCAGACUCCUACGGGAGGCAGCAGUGGGGAAUAUUGGACAAUGGGGGAAACCCUGAUCCAGCAAUGCCGCGUGAGUGAAGAAGGCCUGAGGGUUGUAAAGCACUUUCAAUACGUGAAGAAAAGUUAGCAGGCUAAUACCCUGUGACCUUGACGUUAACGAUACAAGAAGCACCGGCUAACUCCGUGCCAGCAGCCGCGGUAAAGU
rnacentral:rRNA from 1 species